rnacentral:rRNA from 1 species
UACGUAGGGUGCGAGCGUUGUCCGGAAUUACUGGGCGUAAAGCGCACGUAGGCGGCUUUGCAAGUUAGAGGUGAAAGCCCGGGGCUCAACCCCGGAAUUGCCUUUAAGACUGCAUCGCUUGAAUCCGGGAGAGGUGAGUGGAAUUCCGAGUGUAGAGGUGAAAUUCGUAGAUAUUCGGAAGAACACCAGUGGCGAAGGCGGCUCACUGGACCGGUAUUGACGCUGAGGUGCGAAAGCGUGGGGAGCAAACAGG